AUGCCCGUGAAGCUAAAGCAAAGCGCCAGGAGGUGGGAGCGCUCCUUCCCGCAGCCUUCAAGGAUGAGCUGCUGGCUUGUGACUCCUCACUGCAGUGCAGAGUCCUCUCCUUUCCUCAGGGCAGGAGCUUCGCAAGCAGCUGCCUUGGGAUCGAGCAGUGGGGCUGAGCAGCUCCUGCUCUGCUUUGUCCCCAACCCCGGGGGCUGGAUCCUGGCUGUGGGGCUCCCAAAUGCUGCGGUGCGUGGUCCCGCUGGCCCCUUGCUCUCCGCGAGCCGGGGUUGUGCAUUCGGUGGCUUUUUUUUUUUUCCUUCAUGCACUAUAUUCAGGAGGAGAUGGACUGCGCUGGCACGGCUCCAGAGGCAAUCCUCUCCUUGCCAGGAAGCCAGAUGCAUGGUCACAUUGCCUGCCUCUCCCUGGCAAGGCUGGAAGAGCUUCAGCAGGUGUGAGAGAACAGCAUGCGGGAGCCGCAGGUUGGGCGCAGGCUGCCUCGGAGGGGCCGCCAGAGCCGCGCCACGGAGCCCCCGGCCGGGCACUGCUGCAACAAACCAAACCCCUGGUGGGUUGAUCCUCCCUAGCCCUAUCCUCCCUGGGUUUGAACUGGAGCAAGGAGGCAGCAGGAUGGAGUGGUUUUCCUCCUCCCCCCCCCUCGAGCCUUCCACCUCCUCAGCAAUGUUGCGGCGAGAGCGGGGACUCGCAGUCAGCAGACUGCAGUGACAGAUGGCAGGUCAUAAGCCCUCGCGCUAAUCUACCACCGCAAAAGAAAAUAGGGCUGGGGGUGAUUCAGCUGCUAGGCCUCAAAGCGAGAGCAUGCCGGGAUAGCGUGCUCCUCUGACACGUCCUUGAAGGAUGCUGCGUCCCCCAGGACGGCGGGGGACAGAAGUAAAGUGGCGACGAAGCACAAAUGUGUUUGCAGAAUGAGGCGAAUUCUGCAGAACCUGGGUGGUGUGCUCGUAGUCGUUCGGAGUAAUUGGAUUUCUGGGAGCAAGAUGCAAGUAUCACUAACAGAAAGCUCUGUGAGGAAUGAUUUGGGAUCCAGAGAUGAAGCUAGCUGGGCAUGGUCAUCGUCCCAACCUUGGUUGUCCCCUGGCUGGAGCUGCCAGCACCCGUAAAUGUAUCUGCCAAGCUGUCACCGUGUGGAUCUGAAAGGAAGCUGAACCUAUGCAGCUCAGCACAGCGCUUUGGAAACUCUCAUGUGGCAGGAGGAGUUUCCUGAUGUUUAUAAGCUGCAAGGUGCAUUUGGAGCUGAUGUGUUUUGUUGAAGGAAGAGCGCAGGCUGCAGCCCCAGCUGC
rnacentral:lncRNA from 1 species